UACGGCCUACGGGAGGCAGCAGUGGGGAAUAUUGCACAAUGGGGGGAACCCUGAUGCAGCAACGCCGCGUGAGUGAAGAAGUAUUUCGGUAUGUAAAGCUCUAUCAGCAGGGAAGAAGAUGACGGUACCUGAGUAAGAAGCCCCGGCUAACUACGUGCCAGCAGCCGCGGUAAUACGUAGGGGGCAAGCGUUAUCCGGAUUUACUGGGUGUAAAGGGAGCGUAGACGGCGAGGCAAGUCUGGAGUGAAAGCCCGGGGCUCAACCCCGGGACUGCUUUGGAAACUGCCUGGCUGGAGGGCUGGAGG
rnacentral:rRNA from 1 species